UUAAGCGACUAAGCGUACACGGUGGAUGCCCUGGCAGUCAGAGGCGAUGAAGGACGUGCUAAUCUGCGAUAAGCGUCGGUAAGGUGAUAUGAACCGUUAUAACCGGCGAUUUCCGAAUGGGGAAACCCAGUGUGUUUCGACACACUAUCAUUAACUGAAUCCAUAGGUUAAUGAGGCGAACCGGGGGAACUGAAACAUCUAAGUACCCCGAGGAAAAGAAAUCAACCGAGAUUCCCCCAGUAGCGGCGAGCGAACGGGGAGCAGCCCAGAGCCUGAAUCAGUAUGUGUGUUAGUGGAAGCGUCUGGAAAGGCGCGCGAUACAGGGUGACAGCCCCGUACACAAAAAUGCACAUAUGUGAGCUCGAUGAGUAGGGCGGGACACGUGGUAUCCUGUCUGAAUAUGGGGGGACCAUCCUCCAAGGCUAAAUACUCCUGACUGACCGAUAGUGAACCAGUACCGUGAGGGAAAGGCGAAAAGAACCCCGGCGAGGGGAGUGAAAAAGAACCUGAAACCGUGUACGUACAAGCAGUGGGAGCACGCUUAGGCGUGUGACUGCGUACCUUUUGUAUAAUGGGUCAGCGACUUAUAUUCUGUAGCAAGGUUAACCGAAUAGGGGAGCCGAAGGGAAACCGAGUCUUAACUGGGCGUUAAGUUGCAGGGUAUAGACCCGAAACCCGGUGAUCUAGCCAUGGGCAGGUUGAAGGUUGGGUAACACUAACUGGAGGACCGAACCGACUAAUGUUGAAAAAUUAGCGGAUGACUUGUGGCUGGGGGUGAAAGGCCAAUCAAACCGGGAGAUAGCUGGUUCUCCCCGAAAGCUAUUUAGGUAGCGCCUCGUGAAUUCAUCUCCGGGGGUAGAGCACUGUUUCGGCAAGGGGGUCAUCCCGACUUACCAACCCGAUGCAAACUGCGAAUACCGGAGAAUGUUAUCACGGGAGACACACGGCGGGUGCUAACGUCCGUCGUGAAGAGGGAAACAACCCAGACCGCCAGCUAAGGUCCCAAAGUCAUGGUUAAGUGGGAAACGAUGUGGGAAGGCCCAGACAGCCAGGAUGUUGGCUUAGAAGCAGCCAUCAUUUAAAGAAAGCGUAAUAGCUCACUGGUCGAGUCGGCCUGCGCGGAAGAUGUAACGGGGCUAAACCAUGCACCGAAGCUGCGGCAGCGACGCUGAUGCGUUGUUGGGUAGGGGAGCGUUCUGUAAGCCUGCGAAGGUGUGCUGUGAGGCAUGCUGGAGGUAUCAGAAGUGCGAAUGCUGACAUAAGUAACGAUAAAGCGGGUGAAAAGCCCGCUCGCCGGAAGACCAAGGGUUCCUGUCCAACGUUAAUCGGGGCAGGGUGAGUCGACCCCUAAGGCGAGGCCGAAAGGCGUAGUCGAUGGGAAACAGGUUAAUAUUCCUGUACUUGGUGUUACUGCGAAGGGGGGACGGAGAAGGCUAUGUUGGCCGGGCGACGGUUGUCCCGGUUUAAGCGUGUAGGCUGGUUUUCCAGGCAAAUCCGGAAAAUCAAGGCUGAGGCGUGAUGACGAGGCACUACGGUGCUGAAGCAACAAAUGCCCUGCUUCCAGGAAAAGCCUCUAAGCAUCAGGUAACAUCAAAUCGUACCCCAAACCGACACAGGUGGUCAGGUAGAGAAUACCAAGGCGCUUGAGAGAACUCGGGUGAAGGAACUAGGCAAAAUGGUGCCGUAACUUCGGGAGAAGGCACGCUGAUAUGUAGGUGAAGCGACUUGCUCGUGGAGCUGAAAUCAGUCGAAGAUACCAGCUGGCUGCAACUGUUUAUUAAAAACACAGCACUGUGCAAACACGAAAGUGGACGUAUACGGUGUGACGCCUGCCCGGUGCCGGAAGGUUAAUUGAUGGGGUCAGCGCAAGCGAAGCUCUUGAUCGAAGCCCCGGUAAACGGCGGCCGUAACUAUAACGGUCCUAAGGUAGCGAAAUUCCUUGUCGGGUAAGUUCCGACCUGCACGAAUGGCGUAAUGAUGGCCAGGCUGUCUCCACCCGAGACUCAGUGAAAUUGAACUCGCUGUGAAGAUGCAGUGUACCCGCGGCAAGACGGAAAGACCCCGUGAACCUUUACUAUAGCUUGACACUGAACAUUGAGCCUUGAUGUGUAGGAUAGGUGGGAGGCUUUGAAGUGUGGACGCCAGUCUGCAUGGAGCCGACCUUGAAAUACCACCCUUUAAUGUUUGAUGUUCUAACGUUGACCCGUAAUCCGGGUUGCGGACAGUGUCUGGUGGGUAGUUUGACUGGGGCGGUCUCCUCCUAAAGAGUAACGGAGGAGCACGAAGGUUGGCUAAUCCUGGUCGGACAUCAGGAGGUUAGUGCAAUGGCAUAAGCCAGCUUGACUGCGAGCGUGACGGCGCGAGCAGGUGCGAAAGCAGGUCAUAGUGAUCCGGUGGUUCUGAAUGGAAGGGCCAUCGCUCAACGGAUAAAAGGUACUCCGGGGAUAACAGGCUGAUACCGCCCAAGAGUUCAUAUCGACGGCGGUGUUUGGCACCUCGAUGUCGGCUCAUCACAUCCUGGGGCUGAAGUAGGUCCCAAGGGUAUGGCUGUUCGCCAUUUAAAGUGGUACGCGAGCUGGGUUUAGAACGUCGUGAGACAGUUCGGUCCCUAUCUGCCGUGGGCGCUGGAGAACUGAGGGGGGCUGCUCCUAGUACGAGAGGACCGGAGUGGACGCAUCACUGGUGUUCGGGUUGUCAUGCCAAUGGCACUGCCCGGUAGCUAAAUGCGGAAGAGAUAAGUGCUGAAAGCAUCUAAGCACGAAACUUGCCCCGAGAUGAGUUCUCCCUGACUCCUUGAGAGUCCUGAAGGAACGUUGAAGACGACGACGUUGAUAGGCCGGGUGUGUAAGCGCAGCGAUGCGUUGAGCUAACCGGUACUAAUGAACCGUGAGGCUUAACCU
rnacentral:rRNA from 1 species